rnacentral:misc_RNA from 1 species
CUGAGCGCCCCCACCUCCAGGCUCCAGCUUCCCCUCUACUCACCACCCUCUCUCUCUUCCGGCAUCCCGUCCCAGCCUUCGCCGCAGCUCGCGGGCAGGCAGGCAGCCAGCCAGGCAGCCAUGAGGCAGUGGAAGUCCCUAGUCCCGGCGCUGCACCUGCACGGCCCCGCCGCGUCCUGCUUCCCGCACCCGCCGUCGCCGUCGCCGCCCAGGGGGGACGACGAGGAGGAGACGGACCUGCUGCCGGCGGCACCGCCGCAGCUGGCCGGCGCGGCUCUGGCGGUGCGGCUGGUGGGGUGCGACGGGCGCGUGCGCGCGUACGCCCCGCCCGUGACGGCGCGGGAGUUGAUGCAGGAGCACCCGCGGCACCUGGUGUGCCGCGCCGACGCGCUGCUCAUCGGGGAGAGGAUCCCGGCCGUGGCGCCGGCCGAGGAGCUGCAGCCCGGAGAGGCCUACUUCCUGCUGCCCGCGCACCUGUUCCGCUCCGUCCUCUCCUUCGUCUCCCUCGCGUCCUCGCUGCUGCUGCUGCUCUCCACCACCGCCUCCGCCUCCGGCAAGAAGCCCGCCGCCGCCCGCCCGUUCGAGCUCCACCGCACGGCGUCGGGCACGCUGCAGAUCAAGUUCUCCGACGACUUCCUCCUGCCGGACGCCGCCAAGGUCGCCGCGCCGCCGCAGCAGCAGCAGCCCGCCGUGCUGCUCCGCGGGGACGAACGCCUCGCCAAGGACUACGAGGAGCUGGUCGGGUACGGCAAGUCCCGCCGCUGGGCGCCCAAGCUGGAGACCAUCCAGGAGCUGGCGGCGCCCGCCGCCGCCGCCGAUCCCGCGCCGCCCAGCGCUGGGCGCGGCAGGAGCAGCCGCGCGCUGCCGUUCCUCGCCCGCCUCGGCCGCCGCCGCCGCCGCCGCGACGCCUGCAGCGCCGUCGCCUGCUCCGGCUAGGGAGCAAGGGUCGGGUCGUAGCGCUCUCGAUCCCUCCGGUAGGGGUAGUUUUUCAGGUAGCCGGCGCCCGCCGGCGGCGUUGCCGGCCGGGCCCGUCGUCCUGGUUUAGUGGCUGGUUUUGUAAUUAGGGAAACGAAAUUUUGGUGCUAAUCUAAUCUGUAAAUGGUGAUGGUGGCCGACAGAUUUUCCUCCGCCGUUUCUUUUCUCGUGCCUCGAUCAGUCACCCACUCACUAAUUUCUUAGACGCCUAGACUACUGUUAGUAGUAGAAUAGAAUACCAUUAGACUGUCUCCAGAGAAUCGAGAGAACCCAUUAGACUGUCUCGACAGAAUUCGAAAUGACACUGUUUAGGGGUGUUUGGGAACAAAGUUUUUCUGCAGUUUUGGAAAAAUACUGCAGUAUUUUCAAAUACUGCAGUAUUAUAUAUAGAAUGGUGUUUGGCAAGCUGGC